rnacentral:rRNA from 1 species
CAGCCGCCACGGUAAUACGAAGGGUGCAAGCGUUAAUCGGAAUUACUGGGCGUAAAGCGUGCGUAGGCGGUUUGUUAAGUCUGCUGUGAAAUCCCCGGGCUCAACCUGGGAAUGGCAGUGGAUACUGGCAAGCUAGAGUGUGUCAGAGGAUGGUGGAAUUCCCGGUGUAGCGGUGAAAUGCGUAGAGAUCGGGAGGAACAUCAGUGGCGAAGGCGGCCAUCUGGGACAACACUGACGCUGAGGCACGAAAGCGUGGGGAGCAAACAGGAUUAGAUACCCCAGUAGUCCCUGUCUCUUAUAC